UUUACUUAUAAAACGAACAAAAAAAUUUACUUUUAUCACAUUCAAAGGAGGAAAAGUAUGGCUCAAUCUCUCAUCUUUGUUUAUGCUUUGAUCAUAUUUCUUUUUCUAUUUCGUGUUGAAGCGGAACAUCUUAAAAUUCGUUGUGUUACUGAUGAUGAUUGUCCAAAAGUGGAAAAGCCUCUAUAUAUGUAUUGUGGUAAUCAUUGGUGUGCUUACAAGUUACACUUUGUUUAGGAAUUAGUAAGUUAAAAUGUAAUGAUGUUAUAUCUAAGUGAAUAAUAUUAUUUGUGCGUCCUAAUAUUUCAAUUUCUAGAAUUUACUUCAAAUUUUAAUUUGUACUUUCUCUAGAUUUUCAAUUUAGUUGUAUUUUUUCUUGA